UUUCUGUUGCAGGGAUAUUGCUUUAUAACCUUUCAGACUGCAGUCGGCCCCCAGCUGCUUGGAUAAAUAAUCAAUGAGUUUGAAUUAUGCACUAAUAAAAAGGCUUCUCAUUUUGGAUUAUUUUAUUAUUAAAGUCCAAAUAUUUCAAAGUUCUGUCGAGCGCUCGUGGGAGAUGUUAAGGCCACUCUUCAAACGUGGAGAUUCAGAGUAAAGCGAAGACUUCAUGAUACAUGGAAAAUACUUUUAAUCCUUUUAAUUCACUCAGAGAAAAAUUAGGACUUUGAAAUAAUAUACGACUAAGGACUUUGCUCCUCUGAAACAUCUUUUUCAUUCAGUCACAAAUGGAUUACGGUCAGUGGACCUAAAGCCUCAAGGACCCAGGCUGUUUAGAUGGCAAUUUGAUUGCAGUUAUUUAAUUGUAGCUUUUUUGUAAGUUAACAGGGACUGUUAAUAAGUGUAAUAAGUGACCUCUUAUGUGUCUUGUUAAGGGCCAGGUGCAAAAAUCAAAUUGCCUUUAAUAUUCACAUUUAUACCCUGCUUACACAGCUCAUGAGCUAAAAGGUACAUGCUUUCUUGUGACAUAAACAGUUAAAAUUAGAACCUCUUUAUUGUCAUUGUGAAAGUACAACAAAAUAUUAGUGAUUGUUUCCGCUUUGACCUUUUGACCUGUUUCUUGGUUGUUUUGGUUAGUUCUCUGAUAGUUCUCAUAUCAGAAGCAGAUUCACCCGGAGUGAGAAGGACACACGCUGAGGUCGAAACUAGGACAUAUCUUUCAUAAUAACUACAGUGUUUACUGCUAUGCAACAAUAUACCAUGGAGACUUCUUAGUUUGUGUAAACCUACAAUAUGGAAACAAAUCUGGAUCUGCUCCAACUUUACUCUCACCCCAGUUCUUUUUGUAUCCUCCUGGGGCAAUGCACUGCUGGAGGUGCUGUUGGUCUGGCUGGUGUGGCUGAGUGGUCAGAAGAUGCUGUGGGCAGAGAUCCUCUCAGGGUCUGCUGCACUUAAUCUAGUCCCUGUGCUUCCUUUGUGACAUUAUGAGUGUAUUUCUGUCAUGGGCUGCUGGGCUGUCUAAUCAGUUUAACCUUUGAUGCCUCUGUCUGGGCAAAACUGUGAUUAUUUACAUGUUUUAUAUUGAUCUUGGUAAAUGUGUCUUAAAUAACUUGGUUAAAUUGUUCAAACGUUAUGAUCAUGGACACUGAUUUAUACAAGCUUUUCAUUUACGUCAGAUGACAUAAUCUGAUUUAUUCAUUAGUCUUUGUUUAUACCACAGCUGUUUACAAACUGAGGUGUUUUCUUAAAACUUCACAAAGGUCCAAUCUCAACCUGUUCCCUUUGAUUCUAGAUCAAAUUAAGGUCCAUCAUGUUUGAACCUUUAACCUUUAUAAGUGCAUGCACAGUUGGACCUCUGCUUGGAUCUCAGCUGUUAUAAGGAAACAGUGCGAUCUGCAUAGCAAAAACAUGUUCUUCUUUUGUCUUUCUCAUAACCUGUACUGUAAAAAGUCAAUAGACUUUGAUGCUUUAAAGGUUGCAUAACCGUCUUGCUAUUUGCCCUGGUACUAAUGAGUGAAAUUCCCAGCAAUGAUUCUAAUUAAGAGCGAUGCGCAUGUUUUCCCCCCUGGCGAAUCAUGCCAAGGUUAUCAAAUGGAAAGUUCCCUAACCGGGAAUUGAACCUGGGCCAAAGCGGCAAGAGCGCCAAAGCCUAACCACUGACUAGACCAUUAGGAAUGGCUACGGAAGUAAGUUGUUUUCACAAUAUGUGACCAGUGGAGCAUCCAUGACUUCCAUUUGAGUGUAUGCAGCCAAAUGAGGUUGAUUUAAAGCUGUUGUUUUAAAGGCUUUAGUGUGGAUAUGAAUCUUUUUUUUGGGAAGUUUACAAUACAGUGUGCAAAAUAAGGGGCCUGUUAACCUGCAAGGUUAAGUCGUGAGAAAGGCUUUAUUAACAAGUUUACAUAGAUAAUUAUUGUUUUUUCCAAACCUGCAUCUAUAGGUUGCAUAAAUACAUCUUACUCUUUACCGUUGUACCCAUCUGUAAAACUGUAAGAAAAAAAAGAAAGAAAAAAAAAGCUUAAGCUGGUGGUGUGCUGGCAAACAUCCACUCAUGGUCUAGCCUAACUAUAAAGACAGGGCAACAAAUGUUCAAAGAACAUGUUCCCUAACCAGGAAUAGAACCAAGGCCUCUGCAGUGAGAGUGCUGAAUCCUGACCGCUAGACCACCAGGGAGUCACACAUAGGUUAUGAUGUGGUUUGCUGUGGCAAUAUGUGACCUACAUCCAUGACUUCCAUCUUAGAAAUGCUUUCUCAAAGGCUUAAAUCGAAAUCUGGAUAUUCUUUACGGGGUUAGAAUACAGUGGGCCAAAACAAGGGGCCUCUUAAUCGGCAGGGUUAAGUAUUGAUAAAGCCGAUCUAUUAUCAAGAGAGCAUUGCCUCAUAGUAAUCGCCCUUUUCUGCAUGUGCAGUUUAAAUUUCAGUCUUAAGAAUACGUCUGGAUAUUUGAAUUGUGCAGUUUGUGCACAGUUAUACCCCCACUGGUAAAUGCACAGUCAAAAGUUUAUUUCCACUUGGAUUACAGUCGUUAUCCAGCAGUCUCAACAGCUUAAUUUCUGUCCAUCUUUGUACCAUUUUCACAGAGUGCAACACUUAAGAAACUUUUAAGAUUUAAUGCCUAUAAUUACAAAGUUUUGGAUUGAAUUAGGAUAUUUUAUAAACCAAGAGAAUCUCAUAAAAUGGCUGAUGUCAAACUUUUGCUUUGAAUCUUUGAAGGUUCACCAGUUCUUUGAAAGUAAAUUCAUGCAAAUUUAGUGAGCUCAAAAGUUCCCCAACUGAUCUGCACACUUCCUGAAUCAUUCUGUCAGCAGUCUACAGAUUAUAAAAAAUUAUUCAUCAUAAGAAUUCUAUCGAUCAUAAACUAUUAAAGAUGACCAAAACUAAUGUUUUAAUGCUGCAAAAAUUAAGAUUUUUUUUCAAACUUUCAGAUUUGAAUUUUCAACUCAAUAAGUUUCUUUUCUGUUUAAGUUGAGGAACGGGUCACUUAAUUGCUUUUUAACGGCUGAGAUCUGAGUGGCUAUCCAACUUUUAAUGGUACCCCCCCACUGCCGUGCCUAUCAAGCUUUUGAUGGGCACGGCAGUUCUUUUAGAUGUACUGAAUCAUUAGAAUCAGUUCACUAAAAAGAUUUGUUCAAAUGAUUUGUUCACAAAACAUUUAGCACUUGACAGGAGAAACCUGUCACUCCGACCUCUAGAACUGAUACACAGCUUAAUGGUUCAGGAUUCAGUUUGUAAAAUAAAGUUUGUAACGUUUGUAAAAACGAACUUGUUUAUAAGUCAUGGGGUUAGGGUUAGGGCUCGCCAGUGGCGUGUAAAGUGCGCUGAAAGCUCAUUGAUUCAAACCUGGUCAGCUUUCAGCGCA
rnacentral:lncRNA from 1 species